rnacentral:lncRNA from 1 species
GAUGCAAAUAGAGGAAGGAAGUGGACAGGUAAAACUGUUGUUACUAACGUUGAAACUAAUCAAACGCGGCGCACCGCGGAAAAAAGGAGACUCGACCGACCCAUUAAACUGAUUACUCGAUAGAUCUAUGGUUCGAAUUGAAACAGGUAAGCUGUAAUUCGGUAACCCAGACAGAAGAUUAUAACUCAAAUCAAUCGAUUCCAAAUGAUUCAAAGUUUGAAAAAGUGUGAAAGGAAAAGAGCCAGAUAACCGAUUGUGGGACAAAUUAAGGUGAGAUAGAAACGUGAGAUUCNNNNNNNNNNNNNNNNNNNNNNNNNNNNNNNNNNNNNNNNNNNNNNNNNNNNNNNNNNNNNNNNNNNNNNNNNNNNNNNNNNNNNNNNNNNNNNNNNNNNNNNNNNNNNNNNNNNNNNNNNNNNNNNNNNNNNNNNNNNNNNNNNNNNNNNNNNNNNNNNNNNNNNNNNNNNNNNNNNNNNNNNNNNNNNNNNNNNNNNNNNNNNNNNNNNNNNNNNNNNNNNNNNNNNNNNNNNNNNNNNNNNNNNNNNNNNNNNNNNNNNNNNNNNNNNNNNNNNNNNNNNNNNNNNNNNNNNNNNNNNNNNNNNNNNNNNNNNNNNNNNNNNNNNNNNNNNNNNNNNNNNNNNNNNNNNNNNNNNNNNNNNNNNNNNNNNNNNNNNNNNNNNNNNNNNNNNNNNNNNNNNNNNNNNNNNNNNNNNNNNNNNNNNNNNNNNNNNNNNNNNNNNNNNNNNNNNNNNNNNNNNNNNNNNNNNNNNNNNNNNNNNNNNNNNNNNNNNNNNNNNNNNNNNNNNNNNNNNNNNNNNNNNNNNNNNNNNNNNNNNNNNNNNNNNNNNNNNNNNNNNNNNNNNNNNNNNNNNNNNNNNNNNNNNNNNNNNNNNNNNNNNNNNNNNNNNNNNNNNNNNNNNNNNNNNNNNNNNNNNNNNNNNNNNNNNNNNNNNNNNNNNNNNNNNNNNNNNNNNNNNNNNNNNNNNNNNNNNNNNNNNNNNNNNNNNNNNNNNNNNNNNNNNNNNNNNNNNNNNNNNNNNNNNNNNNNNNNNNNNNNNNNNNNNNNNNNNNNNNNNNNNNNNNNNNNNNNNNNNNNNNNNNNNNNNNNNNNNNNNNNNNNNNNNNNNNNNNNNNNNNNNNNNNNNNNNNNNNNNNNNNNNNNNNNNUAAACCAUAAACAUUUAUUCUUAGUUGUGCAAAUGAUGAUUAUAUAAAGUAUUUUCUUCAAAGCGUUUCUUCCUUUUUAAAUCUCAAAAAGUAACUUUUUUAAUCUCAAAAAUAUCUUUUGAUUUUUCAAAACCACAAUCAAACCAACCUUCAAUCUUCUUAAUAACUGAAGAAUUAAUUAAUUAUAAUGUUCAACAUAUAGAUAGAAAGAACAGUCUCAUUAUUUCUUCGGUCAACUUUGGAAGUUAAUAUUGUUGACCCAUCCGCGCAUUCUCAUAUACAAAAGGAUCGGAUUGGAUAGGGCUAAGAAUUUAAAAUAUCUUAAAAAAUAAUUAAACAAAUAGAAGAAAGUUGAGUCGCUUCGAUAUAUUCCUUUAAGUAGGACCUGUAGACUAUUGCAGAGUGUAUUCUUUAGAGUGGUCGACCCAUGAUUUCAUAGUAUAAAGCCAAAUAUGCAUUAAGAAGAUUUUCGAAGAAGACUUAUGACCAAGAAAGCACAAGUUGACAUAUUGGUUCUCAUGAUUAGUAACGCGUUAAAUUGGGACCAUUUCACAUGGUUUCAUUUUUGUCCACUUUCUUUUACUAUUUAGGUCAUGUCUGAUUUAGUUUAAAAAAUAAUUUUUUAUUAAAAUUUGAUGAAUAUUUUUAAUGGAAAAGUUUAUACGAAUUGCAAAUCUUAUUAAUCCCCCGUUUGGCCCCCCAUUUUGUGAAAAUGAAAAUGGGAGCAAUAGUGUUUUUUUUUUUUAAAUGGAUGGUUGAAAAAUAAAGAAAAAAUUUCGAUUUACUCGUAAUUUUUUUUUUAUGAAAGAUUGUGUGAUUGAAAAUAGAAGAGCGAAAAAUAAAAAUGUAAUGGAAUGAAAAUUAAUGGGAGCCAAACGGGGGCUAAGUCCCUAUUUGGGUUUCGUUAAUAUCAGAUUAUGGAGAAAAAAUAUAUUUCAAAAUAAUGAUUUUUCAGAGAAUGUAUGGUUAAAAAAUAAUAAAAAGUUUUGAAUUUACGUGAAACAUUAUUUUAUGAGCCACAUUAUUUUGGUGAUAAUGCAUUCUUGAAUAGUGUAUUGAUGGGAAAUGUGUGGUUAAAAAAUAAAGAAAAGUUUUUGAUCUGCGUGUAAUAUUAUUUUAUUGAAGAAUGUGGUUAAAAUGAUGUCAAAUCACUGUUUAAAAAUGUAUUUCUUUGGAAUAAUGUGGCUCAAACAGGCAAAUAUAAAUCAUUUUUGAAAAGUUGAAGCCCAAACGGAACUAAAUAUGUGAUUGAAAAUGAAUUUAAGAAAAAAAUAAUUUUUAAAAUUAAGAGCCAAACAAAAGCUUAGUAAAAUUUCACUUGGAUUAUAAGCGAGUAGCUCUCAGAUACUCGAAUCAAAUUACGAAUAUUACGGGCUCAUAGUUGCUGCCUCUUCCCUGGUUAUUCCUGAAGUUAAUCAAAUAUUUAGUUCAUUGACUUCUUCAACUACUACUACACCAAUCACCUAUUACAUAAUUCGGUAAGUGGAUGUUUGGGCAAUGUUUAAGCUUUUCUUUAUUAUUUUUAAAUUCUAUUAUUGUGUAACAAUUAAACAUUUUAAAUCUUGCAAGUUGGGUUCGAAAUUAUUGUGAACUUACCCAACUUAUUUGGCGGAUUGCUUGGCGUCUAGGGCUCUUAACAUCGUUACUCCCUAUAUUUAAAAUCCCUUGCAAGUUGUUUGACGUUCAAAAUGCUUUUAUGCCACUUAGAGCUCUGGCAUUGUCGUCCACACAUAGUGGUGAAUUGCUCCUCUAUUUAACGAGGAAAUACACGAAAAUGACUCUUGGAUUGUAACAAAUUUUGACAUUGGCCUUUGACCCAAUAAAUGAAUUAAAAAAAUUAAGUUAAAAAAAAAACUUUACGCUAAAAGGAUGAUUUUACCCUUCAAAACUGUGACUGUCAAACAAAAACUCUCUAACCGACCGACCAAAAAACAAACUGUCGCACAGUCAUCUGAAAAUUGACCGACCAACCACCGGCCAACAACACCAACAUCGUAGUGAGUUAAAUCGUCGACCAGAAGCAAGAUCUACACCAGAAAGAACGAUACUGGUUAGUUUUCUUGCAAAUUUUUGUUAAAAUGGAAUAAUAUUACAUUUUUUGUUCUGGUUAAUUUAUUGAAUAAUAUGACAUUUAAUAGGUUUAAUUAGAUCUUAUGAGCAUAAGUAGUUAGAUUGUGGGCAUGCUGGGGUGAAAAAUGGGAUUUUUUUCUAAUUUUUUAACCUCUAUGACAUCGGCAAUGGCGAUUUCCGACGAGUUUCGUGAAAGACGGUCAAAAAAUAGUCGGGUUCAACCCGACUGUUAACAGCUGGCCCACGACUGUUAAAUAGUCAUGGACCGACUAUUAACAGUCAAUGGGCCGACUGUUAACAAUCGGCCAUGACUGUUAAACAGUCUGCAAUUUUUUUUUUGGGAAAUAUAUACUAAUUUUUAUUUUUUUUAUAAUUUUUGUAAUUAAUUUAAUUUUUUAUUUCAUUAAAACUAAAUUAUGUUAUUUAUUUAUUUAAUUUUUAUAAUUGUCUUUUAUUUAACAUAAAUAAUUGAAUAUUAUCUAAAAUUAACAAUUUUGUGUUGUUCCCCUUUUAUUAAUGAAAUAAUCUUUAAUUUUUUUUCAAAUUUAUUUAAAUAAUAUAAAUAUUUUUUACAUUUUUUUUAAAAUGUAUUUAAUUUGGAAUUUUUUGUUUGUAAAUAUAUUUUCCAAAUGAUUACAAGAUUAAUUUUCUUCAUAAUUAAUUUAUUUUAAUUUGAUUAAAUAAUAAUGAUGUUAUUUAUUUAUGUAAUUUUUAUAAUUACCUUUUUUUAUAUAAUUUAAUAAUUGAAUAGAUAAUGUUCUCCGAAAUCAACAAUUUAUUUUGUUCCUUUUAUUGUUCUUUUAUUUUCACCUUUGAUUUUUUCUAAUUUAUUUAAAUAAUAUUUAUAUUCUUUAAUUUUUUUGAAAAUGUAUUUAAUUUGAUUUUUUUUAAAAUAUAUUUUCCAAAUGUAAUAUUUGUGAUUAAUUUUCUUUAUAACUAAUUUAUUUUAAUGCGUAUUGUAUGGUAGUUAGAAUUCUGUUUCCUUGAUUUUGUGAGAUUAUGCUUUAUUUUGUUAUCUCUUGUUCAAUGCUCUAACAUUUGAAUUUUUGCAGGAUGGAGUAUCAUUUAGAUGGGGAGUUGAGACGGAUGGCGGGGAAGGCUACUUGGAAUAGUAGCUUUGAGAGUUUUACUGCUGUGUUGGAGCUGCUCGAUGAUCAGCACAGAGAUAUGCUAUGACAGUCUUUCUUGUGGUCACUGUACCAGUUGCGAGAGGUGCAGUACUCAAGACAGAUCAUUGAUGCACUUCUAUGUCGGCUUCUGAGGCCAGUUGACGGCGAUUCCCUCCAGUUCAACCUCGGGGGCAAGGUCGUCAGUUUCUCGACGUUUGAGUUUACAUUGAUCACUUGGCUGAGGAUUACGGGCGACGUUACGACCAUUGAGAGAAACAAUAGAUUGUACGAGACGUACUUCCAGGGACAUGGGUCAGUGCUUCUACCCGACUUGAUGGUCGCGAUCAGGGGGUGCGACCAGAUGCUAGAUAGAUUGAAGCUUGGGCUGGUCUACAUCCUUGAGAGUGUGAUGAGGUGUCAUCACAAGAAGACUGUCAUCGACAUUUUUCAUUUGCAAGUAGUUGACGACAUUGAUGCGUUCAACAACUAUCCAUGGGACCGGAGAUGCUACGAAGACACUGUACAUGUCUUCACCAGAGUACACUCGAGACCCAGGGGGUCGAUGCGUAAAUACGAUACAUAUGGAUUGCCCUUAGCGGUGCAGGUAAAUGUUUAAUAUAAUCAAAGUUAAAAUUUUAGUAUAUUACAUUUGUGCAUAAUAAGUGUAUGUGUUACAGAUUUGAGUGUAUGAGACAAUCCCUGUACUAGGGGCCCGCUUUGUGCAGCGAGGGGAGACACGGUGCCCUCAGAUGCAUCAUUGGAGAUCAUCGCGAGCGGAGGGAUGUCCCCCUGGGAGACAGUUAUCGGCCCUCCUCGACGAUCCUCAGGUAAGUAUUAUACAUUUGUGAUUUAUAUAUACGUGGUUUAAAAUUCUGUUUACAUAAUCGUUAAGUAGUUGAAAUGUCAAUAUGUCAGCUUGAAGUCAUACCUGAGUUGACGCCGUCGAUGGAAAAGGAGGCUCGGGGUAUUGUGCAGGAUUUAGGCGUUCCGUACACCCCAAACGAAGAGAUAUCUAAUCCGAGCUUUGACCGAGAUUGGGUAUGUGAAUGAAAUAUAAUUUAUUGAAUAUCGUCGACGUAUAAAUUUAUUGAAUAAUUUGUAAUGUUAUUUAUGUAGUCGCCGCCACCAUUGGCAUCACCUCCGCCGAGAGUAUCGUCCCCGCCAUUGUGAUGAGGGCAUCGCCGCCAUCAGUGGCAUCACCUCCAUCCAGACACCUCCCCCGUGUGUCUCCGGCACACAGUGAUGAUUUGUAUGCCCGUUUGACUGGAUUUAUAGUGGAGGAGGUCGACGCGCUACAACGAGAUUUGACGGAGAGGGUCGAUGAUCUGGAACGAGAUUUGACGGAGAGGGUCGAUGAUCUGGAACGAGAAUUGACAGGGAGGGUCGACGAUCUGGCAGGGAAGGUCGACUAUCUGACAGGGAGGGUCGACGAUAUGGGACGAGAGUUGACUGGGAGAUUUGACGACCUAUCCCAUGAUGUUGGAAUACUACAGUCUUCCGUUGUCGACCUUCAAGAUACAGUAGCGGCGCUUAGAGGAGAUUUAGCUGGCAGACGAUGGGGGGACAGAAGGGAUGGCGGAGAUCGUGAUCGAGAGGGUGGCAGAGAUGGUGGUGGAGAGGGGGGUCACCCACAUUUUUGGCGUGAUGAGACAUUGGAGUCAUUGUGGUUGUCUAUGGAAGGGGUGGCCCGAUAGGAGGGGCGGAGGAGGUGGCGACGGAGGGGGAGGCCUCGACGAGAGGGGCGGAAGUGGUGGCGACGGAGGGGGAGGGGCGGAGGAGGUGGCCCCGGAGGUCGAGAGGACGCCCGACGUAAUUGAGGGUAAGAGACAUGCUAUUGACGAGACGGAGUAGGUGGUCGGCAAGAGGUUGAGAGUGCCGUCACAGUAUGUUGUUUCCCCCUUCACGGCUGAGGCCAAGAGGAGGACAUUCAUCGAUGGGACGCACCCGAACUUAUUCAGGAAGGUGAACAAUGCCAAGUGAAAAGCGUUCGAGAUAGAGUGGCGGAGAAGUAUCCCCGGGUAAGUAUUGUAUGAUUUUAAUAAAGCACUGUACGCUAACUCGUCUACGCUUAUUUUAACAUUUCCCUAUUUUUUACAGAGUUAGCCGCACAAUAGGUCAAAGGAUGGUCUCGGAUCCUUACAAGUGGUUCCACAGUACCACCACUGCGGGAGCUUGGCUCGUCGACGAUGUAAGUGAACUAUUCAUUUCGUGUAUUUUAUGUAUACGUCACUUUGUGUUUAUUAAAUGAAUAACUCAUACUUUUUUGGUGUUUUCUGCUGCAGCACAUCGACCUGGCCAUGGACUUGCUGCGAAAUCGAGCUCAAAGACAUCCAAAAUCAUUUGAUGUCCAUAGUCGAUGUCAUAUUAAACAUCGAGUUCUUACGUGCCGUUACCAUAGAGUAUCAGUCGCUCGAACUUAUGGGUAACGAGUACACGGUGCCAGAAUAUAUGCUCAAGUGGGUGAUAGGACUGUCACCGAGUGUCGGGGGAAAAUCAUGGGAGGGUUGUACACAUAUGUACAUUCCAGCGUGCAUCAAUAAACACUAUAUUACGCUAGAGAUUGUUUUUGCUGACUCGACUAUUUAUGUGUACGAUCCAGAUCAUUCAUGUUUGACACAAGGCCAGUUGGAGCAAAACCUGGAGUCCAUUUCUGUAAUUGUUCCUAUGAUGGCCGGCCGGACGAGCGGGGAUAAAUGUACAGGACAGAUUGCUAAUUGUUCGGAACACGACGACAACGCGACAGUCCGUAAGGUAAGUGUUUGAACUUUGUUAUUUUUAUCUUUCAGAUUUAUUUUUUACUUACACAGUACUGAAUUGAUUCAUUCUUAUUCAAUUGCAGCGGCGACUGCAGCAUAUUUGCUAUUAAGUACAUUGAAUUUUUAAGUAUAGGGCAUAAGAUUGAUGGAAUCAACUAGUCAUGGAUACAGAACAGGAGAAAGAGGCUAGCAUGUGAUUUGUUUGAAUUUAAUGCUGACUCGUAAAUUUGUAUUAAAUAUAUGUAACAUUUCAAUUGUAAAUUUAAUUAUUUUUUGUGAUUAUGAAAUAAUUGUAAAUUUGUGUUCAAUGUAUGUAACAUUCACAUUGAAAAUUUAAUUAUAUUUUUUGUUUUGUUACUUUACAAGUAGGUCGAGUAUGUAACUAUUUUUUUCAUAUGAAUCAUUAUAAAUACCAAUUAUCAAGAAUAAAUAUUGAAUAUCGAAGAUUUAUAAAGAACAAAUAUUGAACAGUGUAAAGUAAAAGGAAAUACUAUUCAUUUAACGUACCUGUCUAAUCAUCAUUUAGAGAAAUUUGACUGGUACAAAAUUGCCGAGUAUGCCCUACGGCUCUGCACUUGCCACACUUACGCGGUCGAGGAAAUUCUCCGGUAGAUGGUAUUCUAUAUGUACUUGGAUGUCCAGGAACACGCGGUUCUACUGCUGGUGGCAACAAAUUAUGAAAUGGAAGAAUGUGCUUGGGAACUUCCCACUCGGCUUCAUUCAGCAGAGGAAAUAUAGUUUCAGCAUAUGCUGUUCUCCAAGACUCAGUCGUAUAAUACAAAGAGCAUAACGUUCUCGCAGCAAAGCCUCGAUACAUGGCCACCGCAACUGUAUGCUCACAUGGAAAACUCUCCAACUGAAAUCUCGUACAAGUGCAUGUGUUAUUAGUCAAGUUCACCAUAUAUGUCGUAUUACGUGCACAUUGAACGGAGAAGCGAAACUCAUCUAGUGCUUUCACAUUCAACUUCCUCGCAACCUCUGCCGCCUUAAACAGUUUCUCCUCUUGAGCUGGGGCCAACAAGCUAGUGCAACUCUGUGAUGCCGCACGUCGGUCAUGAAACCACUGUUGUAACUUGUUACGAAUGUUCUCAAUCAUUGUGAGAAUUAGUAACUCUCAAUCCUUCUUAAACAAUGCAUUGAGAGACUCCACGUUAUUCGACGUCAUCAUGUUGUAUCAACAUCCUGGAAAGUAUGACCGCACCCAAUGUUCGAUCCCCAUCUUCGUCAGAUACUCCAACGUCGGUAAUGAUUUACUUCCUAUCUUGAGCAUGAACUUAUUAUACUCUUCAGCAUUGCAAGCUUCGGUUGCUCUCCUGAACAAUGAAACAAUGCCUGUGCCCCGAUACCUAGUCUUCAAAUUACCUUGUAUAUGGUACGUGCAAUACCCGUGAUGUGCCUCAGGAAAAACUUCAGCGAUACCGUUUAUUAUAGACUGUCCCCGAUCGAUUACAAAGGCAAGGUCUUCGACUUCCCCGAUCACUUCCCUCAGUUUAGAAAAGAACCAACGCAUGGACAGAUCAUUCUCGCUGUCGACUAUGUCGAAUGCAAUGUGGUAAAUUUGGAUGUUGGUGUCUUGACAUGUAGCAAUAAUUAAUUUGCCUUGAUAUUUAGCUUUCAGAGUUGUACCAUCAACUAGAAUUACGGGUCGCAUUGCAUUUCGAAAACUCCGAAUACAUUGUCCAGAGCCAUGAAGAAAUACUUAAAACAAUUAUCGCCCCCCGUCUCAAUAAAAAAUGUCGUGCCAGAAUUAGUUGUCCCCAUGUUAUGGUAAUACCCAGCCAAUUUAGCAUAGCUCUCUUCAGCCGAUCUCAUUAAAUCCUCCAACGCACAUUCUUUGGCUUUCCAGACUUUCUGGUAGCUCAUGACCACUCCAUACUCUCGACGGACGUUGUUAAUGAUGUCCAAAAGUCUGUAGAUCGUUCGUGGGUCCUGAUACUUGUGCAUUAUCUGUCGACCAAUAAACCAUGCUCGAGCUUGCCUAUGAUCGUUUUGAGAAUUCCCACUUCGCAAGUAUGUUCCCGUGAAUACUUACGAAUUAUGAAGCACUCAUUCGUGUCCAUCUUAGUUGCUCUCAAGUGCCAAUUGCAACUGUCUUCGACGCAGGCAACUGUCAAGAAUGACUUGUUUAAUUUCUUUACCUUGAACUCAAAAUUAUAUUUUAAUGACAGCCGGUGCAUAGCUUCCUACAAAUCUUUCUUGGUUUCAAACAGUUGCUCGACCUGCAAAUCCUCAUCAUCGGAGCCACACGGGAAGAAUUGGAGGACGGUCCACUUGUUCCAAUCUGUGAGCUCCCACCCACCUCAUGUCUCUGUCGGGAUAAAGCAAUCAAAUUCUCAUUUGUAAACUCAUUUAUAUUCUCAUUGUCUUCAACUGUCGAGGAAUUCUAUGCGUAACAGCGACAUCACGAUCAGGAGCAACUGUCUCAGGAAUAACCACAUCAUCUGCAGGCACUAUCUCCACUGUCUCCCAAAAACCUCGGUCAUUAUUAUCCGCCCUAUUUGAAUCUUCGCGUUCACCUUCGAUAACAUCCUUCUUAACUAAAGUCAUACCAAGAGCAGUCGGAGUCCAAUGCAUUUUAUUCAAUUCUAAUAGAUAAUUCAAUUCAGCAUCAUUAGUAACGACUAUACGUGGAAUUGGAAUGGAUGAAUCCCCAUAACCGUUGAAUAGAUAUCUCAAUUGCAUAUCGUAUUGAGAUUGAUCGACAUUCAGCUUAUUUUGUAAAUCGUUGCACAUUUCUAAGUAUGAUGUACUAUCUGUUAUGGGAAUUGCAAUACAAUCACAUCUGUCACUCGUUCAUCUCCAUUCCCACCGAUUAUUUUCAUUCAAUUCCAAAUCACCGAAAUAACAGAAGAAAAUUAUCAUAUCCGUAUGAAGAAAUAUAUUUAAUCAACUUCAUUUAUUCAUUAUAAGAAAAAAUCAGUGCCAACAAAAAUCAGUGCAGAGUCGGUGUUAAUUGGCUAUUUAACAGCCGACAGUCAGCUGUUUAACAGCCGAUUAUUUGGCUGUUAAACAGUCGGAUUGUUUGGCUGUUUUUGCUCAGGAAUUCUUCUACGGUUCUAAAGAAAAAUAUUAUACAUCUGUUCAAUUUUUUUGAUAGGUAAGAUCUGUUAAAAAAAAAUUAUGUUAACUACUAUGUCGACAUAAAAUUUCUCUAUUCAAACGUAUACUAAUUUAUUGAAAAUGAAAUUAAACAUGCGUAAAUGUACUUAUCGAUUUGAAGUAAUUGAUAUGAAAAAAAAAUUCGGCUUCAACGUUUCAAAGUUUUUCUAGAUUUUGAGGUUCAAACAGAUGAAAAGAUGAAAGUUUUUUCUGUGUUGGAAACUCGUUUUGAAGUUUUUAUAAGUGGGGAAGUGUUUGGUUUUCAAUUAUUAACUAAAAGGGUAGUAAAGUCCUUUUAACAAUAUAUUGUUUUGUAAUUGUACAAAACAUUUAAGGGAAUUUUUGUCUUUUACUAUACAAGAGGCCAAUAUCAUAAUAUUCAUGAUUUUGAAAGUCAAAGUGGAAUUUAGGUCUUUUGACUGGGUCAAACUUAAAAGUACCCCCUAUUUAACUUAUCGUCUAUAGCGAACUUAAUUAUAGUUUAUAUUCACUUAUUCUUGUUCUAAACACUUACAUAAUUUUUUUAUUAAUUCGUUGGGGCCGAUGAUGAGGGUGUUACGAUUCUUACGAAGGUAAAUUAUCACCUACUGAUUUCUAAAGGUUGGUUCCAUAUAAAGAAAAAUAAAAAAUUUUAACGUGAUAAUCAUAUUUAACGAGAAUUUUUCAAACAAAAUAUGAAAGCAAGAACCACUUUAAAUAUGGUUGCACAUUGGAAUUGUGUAAUCAUGUGUAGCAUAGAGGCUCUCUCCAUGUGCGUGCGCAAGGGGUGCUAAUUACGGAUCGAAAUUGCCUUCGGACCUUGAACUUGUGUGCGAGCACGACUUGCGUACAUAAAUGUCGGACCAAACAAAGCAAAAAUUGGUCUCUUUGGAGAGCCCACGUUUUUCACAUUUUUUUUUUGCUUUCACUGACUUUUGAGUUUCCGAAAAUUGCCAAAACUCCCAAAAAUUGAAACAACUCCACUGUUUAUUGCUAUGGAAUUAAUAAGCAAAUUUAAAACUUAUAUUAAGUCUCAUUUCCAGCAAUUCAACCACGAGAAUACACACCAUAUUACAGUCUACGAAAAUAUACAAUAUAGGAGAAAAACGGUUUGCAUAUUAGUGUUGUCCGCAUACAUAAUCUUUUGCAAUUUUAGUGUCGUCGUUGUGGUGAUAUUGUUCAAACGCUAAAUUAGUUCGCCGGAGUAGUUUCUGUGGUGCUUAGAUUCUACGAGUUUUACCGUUGUAUCCUGAGAAACAGAAUUCUACGAGUUUUACCGUUGUAUCCUGAGAAACAGACGUUCGGAUUAGACCUCAAGCACUUACGGUAAGGGGGCGAAUCUGUUUUAAGAAAACUGUGUUCGCACAGACCUCGGAUUGAAGAUUUAUUUAUUUUCUACAAUUCACAUAUUUAUUUAUUUAGUGAUUUACAUAUUAUGCUUCGUAGAUUUUCUAGUUUAUUUUGUUUUAUGUGCUUCAUAUAAUUUUACAGUUUAUUAUCUGUAUGUCGAAAAAAAAUCUGAAGAAAAUUAAUUAAUUUGAUAACAUUCGGUUUUGUAGUUGUCCAAUCGGUAUUUAUUCAGAUAAUAUAUGCAAAUAUGGUAUUUCUACAUUUUGGUGCAUGUAAGUGCAUAUCCGGUAUGUUAGUUGCAUAAAUGGUAUCUAGCAAAUGUGUGUAUAUCACUCACUAUAUAUGAAAUGGAAUAAAAACAGUUUAUGAAAAUUUUGUGUAAAUACGGUGAGCUUCCUGCAAAUACAAUAGGCAUCAUAUACGGUAAGUUGCAUGCAAAUAUGAUAAGCUGCCUAUAAAUACGAUAAAUGAUUUAUACGAUAUAUGCAUAAACCGUAUGCUUAAAAUUUGUAUUUAAACUAUACAUACGGUAUGUGAUAAUCCGAUUUCAUUACCAUCUAUAUAUUUCCUACAGAUUCAACUAUGACAAUCAAAUAAGAAAUAAAUUCCUCUUGAAAAAUUAACCAACCUACAUAAUUCCCAUUUUUGAGUUAAGUUUGUAGCGGUUGUUCCAAAAAAAUUUCUUGCUUUUUAAAUGAGUGAUUAGUGUAGUUUUAUAGAUCAAAGGAAGGAAAAACUCAAAUUGGACAUGGGGCAUGGAUAUCAGUCAUAUGACCCUCAUCCUGUGCUAAAUGGUUUGCUUGCUAUUCCAUCUUGUAAAAAUGUGUUGAGACACCUUAGGAACUUGUACUUGAGAGCUUGAGCCGAGUCACAGUCUUAUGGAAACUUGUUACCAACUUCAGUAUAGUCUUGUUCGCAACCAUUUGCGUUACAUCAACUCGAUUCAUCUUUCUCUAAUAAUAACAUUCAUAACAGAAAUUAUUUGCCAAGUUAGUAAAGCACAUUGAGGGAAGUGGGCCAAGCCAAGGCCUAAAUGUUUAAUUUCUUAAUUAAUAUUAAAUUAUUUUCAUUGCUACUCGAGCUCUAUAUUUUAACAAACUUUAAAAUACAAUAUUAAUUUCGUCCUUCUACAUUAUAGACCAUCCAACCUCUCAAAUUGGUUCCAUCAGUUCUAUCCAAGAGGACCUUUACGGAAUUCGAAAAUCUCUCCAACCCGAUCGAGCGAGUCCUUUCCUUCACGAUAAGUUCAUUUUCCCACUUCAUACAAGUCGUUGAAUAAAUCAUGAACCAUUUCCAUAAUGAUACUGUUAGUUUGAUGCCCAUUCUUCGAAUAAUGUUCUGUAAAAUCACAUUAUGAAUUUACAUUCGUUUAUUUGCGUGUUAUAAUUUGAAGUGAUUGUCUAAGGUUCCAUGAUCAUAUAGGAUGUCACAAAUUGUAUACUCGAUGGAUCGGGCAUAGUAAGACACAAUUUGUGAUGUGAACAAAAUUAUGUCAUUCACAGUCAAUUCAGAAAGUUGGACCUAUGUUGAUAAGAUUGUAUUGUUCUUAUUAAGAUUUGUCUAGAUUUUGAAAUAGGAACAAUAAUGUGUUUCGAUGCACAUUGAACGGGACCGCAUAGAUGACACAUUUGUAACCGUUUGAAAUGAGACUCCACUUGAUUAUCAAACAGGUCACCUAAAUCCCGAGUGAGUAAUGUACCUUUGAUUGUUAGUUCAAGUUCUUUGAGGUACCAAUGAGUGAAGUCUUAAAUGGAAGAUUGAUCUCGGUGCUUUGGGCAUUGGGUCGAAAAAAUUAGAGAUCAUAUACUUACAAUAUUGAAAUCCAUUAAUCAUUGAGAUGAGACGAUCGUCACUCUAAGGUAUUUUCCUAGGCAAAUUGAAUCUGAGCUCAGUAGGUCGACGAUGAGAUCGUUGGACUUUACAUUGUGAUUUGAUCACAACGAAUUUGUCGUAUGAAAAUGGGACUUACAUGUUGAAGGGCAAAACGGUUAUUUUGUCAGUUUCAACACAUUGACAGUCAAAUGGGGGUUGAUUUGUGGAACGAUAUCAGAGGAUAUUGUUAUUGGAUCAUAAUUUGCUUCUAUAACUAUCACUCAACUCGAGAGUGCAAUCUCAAUUUUUUGGUAGAAUAAGUCGGGAUUAAUAGAUGUAUCUCAAUUGGUCAAGAGUUGACCCAAUUGAAAACAUCUAUUGGAGCUUAGGUCAUGUCAGUCCAAUUAGGUUCCUCUCUUGGCUCCAAUAAAAUGCGUGUGACUUAAUUGGCCUACUACAAUAAAGUCUAAGGAAAUUUGUACAAUUUUCAAACCCUAAUAGGUCAUUAUAAAUAUGCACUUUAUUGGCAUAUUUUGGUGUGAUUUUAGAGUUAGCCACUUUUCACGUUCCCCAAAAAGGAAUAACACCUAGUGGAGAAUAAGGAAGAAGAUCUAAAGGAGGAAGUAAUUGGCUAGGUCAUUAAUAGCUCCUUCGAAAAGGUUAUCAUCUCCCCUUUCUAUAUAUGUGAGGAUUUUAUAAUCCAAUGAUCUCAAGGUUAAUUAAAUCCUUAUUUACAUGAUUUUAAUCUUCAAAGGAAAAUUAAUUUCCUAUUGUGAUGAUUAAAAUUCAUUAACCAACAAAUGGUAUCAGAGCCAAGAUUAUUGUAUGCCUUGAGUAGGAUUAUUAUUUUUUCUAAAUCCUAGUGUAAUAUGCAUUUUAGUUGGGUGGUGUUAGGUUAUUUGAUUUUGACAUGUUUAUGCUUUAAAUAUGUUUAACUUUAUUGUUGAUACACUCAUAAUCACUUUUGGCCCUAGAAUUUCUUUUUACUUCCUAUUGUAAUUCAUUUAUUAUAGUUACUCUCUAGAAAUCUUGUAAGCCAUAAGGCAUUAAGUUUUUUGUAUUUUUUCUUCAUUUUCAUUUUUGUAUUUUGAGGAAUAAAUGUAAACUUGUUGCUGUAAUUUCAAUGGAGAAGAAGGAAGAACAAAUGCAAGAAAUAAAACAAAAAACACACACCAAGAGAUAAAAUCGGUGGAGCAACCAUAGCUGCUGCAAACACAGGAGUAGUUCGCAGCAGCAAAAACUGCUGCCUUGUGAGGCAGCAGCAGGCCGUCGGAGGGCCGGCUCCGGCAGCGGCGCAAAUGGCAGCCUAUUUUGGGUCGUCGGAGUAGUGUGUAUUUUUGGUGGAAGUGUGUUUUCUUGCUAUAGUUUGAAAAUUAGGGUAAUUUGAAUUUUUUGGGCCUUUCUUUAAUACUUGGGCCAAUGUUGUUGGAUAAUGGCCUUUGUUGGUUUUAAGUUUUGGGUCUAAAAAUUAAAUUAACCCUAUUUUCAUGUUACAUGGGGUGAACUACAAAAAAGAUUGAAGAAUUUGGCCGGAAUGUGGCCCAAUGUAAUUCUUUUUAGGGAAAAUUUCAUAAGUGAGAGAUUAAAUAUGGUAGAUUUCAAAAUUAAGAAAACAAGUUUCAAAAUUCAAAAAUCAAUUUUUUAUCAAAAAUUAUUUAUGAUUUAAUUAUUUAAUUAAUUUAAUAUAUUUAGAUAACAAUUUUUUAUCACAAUUAUCUAAUUACGUAGUCACAGAUUAAUUUUUAGUCACAACUUAUCAAAUUAUUGGUCGUAACUUAUUUCUCGGUCACAGAUCGAAAAUUUUAUAAGUCACAGAAUAUUUUUCGGUCACGAAUCCAAAAAUUUUACAGGUCACAGAUUAUUCAUCGGUCACAUAUUCAAAACUUGUAUUUGUCACGAUUAAUUUUACGAUGACAAAUUAAUCAAUUACGAGUCACAGUCACAAUUUUCAGGUCACAUAUGCAAUUGUGAGUCACAGUUAUAAUUUUCAGGUCACAGAUUGCCAAUAUAAUAGUCACAAUCAAACCAAUUAAUCUGUGACCAUCACCAAACAAUCACUGCCACUCGCCACUAUCGUCGGCACCACCACUACGAUACCAAUAACACCACUCUGUAACACCAACAACACCAUAGCCUUAACCACCACACCCCACCACCACGAUACCAAUAACACCACCACUGUAACACCAACAACACCAUAACUUUAACCACCACAACCUACCACCACGAUACCAAUAACACCAACAACACCAUAGCUUUUCCCACCACAACCCACCACCACUAUCACGGUGAACAUCGGACAGAUCGAUGCUUCAAACACUACUGUUGCUUCCAUUUUCAAGUCGACCACCCCAAAACCACUGCUAUAGUUGCCACGAACACCGCACUAAUCAACGCCUCAAACGUUGCUGCUGCUUUCCAUUUUAAGAUCGACAACUUCAAAACCACCAUGAUCGUGCGCAACGAAUACAAAGCCACCGGAAUCAUUCUCUCAUUCUUAGACAUACCUAUAGGCUGAGAUGUCAAAAACUGAUCCAAAAGCCUCUGUAAAUGACCAUCUUCCCGAAAAUCCUUUCAAGCUUCACUGUCCUCAACGAGGUCACAUCUUUCCUUACGUCUGACAACUCCUUCACGUCCCUAGAGGACCUUGAUCUCCUCAUCCCAUACCCCAGCCCAUCCUGAAACUCAAUAUAAAUCACAACAUCACAACUAGAUCCCACCUCAACCAGAUCUAUAGAUCUAUAGAAUUGACAAUUUAUGGCGAUAAAGACAGGGUCACUACUUACCGACGAUGAAGACAACGAUCGGAGAGGACAGUUGACAGCCGCCGUGCGUGAGAGAGAAGAAAUUGAGAAAGAGAACAAGAGAGUCGAGUAGAGAGAGACAUGGUAUUGAGACUGAUAUUAUUAGAUUUAGGGCUUGUUUAAUUAAUUUUUAAAUACAUUAAUUAAUUAAAAAAAUUUCUGAUUUGUGAAAUAUUAAACAUUGCAUCUUAUUUAAAAAAUGAGAAUUUUUAAUUUAUUAGAAUAUGUAAUUUUCACUUCUUUUUAUCCACGUUGUAAUUUAAAUUCUUGGGAUGGGCCAUUAGUGAUUAUUAUUCAUUUAAUUAUCGCUUUUACCGCUUUAUGGAUGGAUGAAUAUUUAAUUAUUAUCACAUGUCAUGUAGAUUAAAUGAAACAACAUCCGGUGCACUAAAAUCAUAUGUAUUUACAUUUAAAUAUUUUUUUUUAUCACUCUAAAUUAAUUAGAGGUGGUUGAAAAAUAUUUUAUAAUUAGAGCCAUUAUAAUUGUUUAUAUUUGGUGGACUAAUUAAGUGAAAAUCCAACGGUACAAAAUAAUAAGUGGGAGAGGAUUUAUAGGCAUGUAUAAACCUACGGCAUCCUCCCUCAUCUAAUUUGUUAUUAAAAUACGUAUGUUUAGUAUCGAAUUAUAUCGGUUUCCCUAUAGGAAAACUACGUUAUUUUAGAUUAACUGAAAUUGGAUCUAGUAAUAGAAUUUCUUUAAAAAUGAAAUAAUGGGAUGAUCAUCCUAUAGACGACAUCUUAUAUAUUUCGGAUAUUUUAAAAUUAUUGACGAAGGUUAUUACACUUAUAUAUGAAUAUUUUGGGAAAAUUCCUAUAGAAGAUUUCAACAAAAUUAUUCAUAGGCCAAAUAAAAAUCAAUCCUCAUUUUCUUGUGGCAUGAGAUGUCUCGCUCAAUAAAAUGAGUGGGAGGGUCCCAACCUUGCCGACAACUAUAUUGACCUCCUAUAGAGGGCGUGUUAAAAGUUGUAAGGGUUUAAGAUUUUUUUAUUACAAAUAUAGUUUUGGGUCUAUAUUUGCAUAUUCGUAUACAUGCAUUAUACAAAGACUAUUACUCAUUUUAUUAAUACGCAAAUCGUUAAUUUUACAGAAAAUGUCGCUUAAUCCAUUAUCAGUAAUAUUUAACAAAAAUCAACUUGUGGAAGAAAACUACGUUGACUGGAAAAGGAAUCUUAAUAUUGUUCUUACCGCUGAAAAAUACAAAUUUGUGUUGGAUGAAGUUUGUCCCGAAGCCCCUAAAGAUGACUCCACGAAAUCUCAAAAGACUGCAUAUGAAAAGUGGCAUCAUUCUGAUGAGAUGGCCUGUUGUUACAUUUUGGCAUCUAUGUCAAAUGUACUACAACAGAAACAUCAGAAUAUGGAAACUGCUUUUGACAUAAUGGAAAGCCUUCAAGAGAUGUUUGGACAUCAAAGCAGAUAAGCUAGGCAAGCCUCCAUUAGGACAAUUAUGAACACACGCAUGAAACCGGGUACACUAUGAGGUAUCAUAUGUUAACCAUAAUUGGUCACUUUAAUGUUGCAGAUGUUUUAAGAGCUGACAUUGAUUCCGAGACACAAAUUGACAUGGUCCUUGAGACUAUUCCUGAGAUGUUCUCAUAAUUUAUAGUUGAUUAUAAUCUACAUAAGAUGGACAUGUCUCUGACAGAAUUAAUGAAAGAGCUACAAAAUGCUUAAUCUGUUCUAAAAGCUAGGAGUAAAAGUGCUUUGACUGUUAUAACCGGACCUUUUCAUUCUAAGCCUUCUGGUGGCAAAGGAAGAAAGAAGAGGAAGAGGCCAAAGAAAAAGCCAGAUAGCAAGUCAAAGGGGAAGAAAACUACUGCCGAUGGGAAACCAAAGGGAAAGUGUUUUAUUUGUGGACAAAAGGGUCACUAGAAAAGGAACUGCCCAGAUUACUUAGCCAAAGGGAAGUAAGGUAAAGGCAAUAAUGCCCUAUUCAUUGAGUCGUGCUUAGUGGUUGAUUCUACUAAUACUUGGAUUGUAGAUUAUGAAGCCACUAAUCAUGUUUGCAAUUCUUUGCAGGGAUUCCAGGAAACCAAGCAUCUCAGUGAAGGGGAGCACACUCUUAGGGUUGGCACAGGAGCAGUGGUAUCUGCCAAAGUUGUUGGCACUUUUACUUUAUAUUUUGAGAAUCGUAGGCAUUUGAUAUUAGAUGACUGUUAUUAUAUUCCCGAACUUACACGGAACUUAGUUUUUGUUGCACUUUUAUAUCAUGUUGGUUAUUCGGUACUUUUUACUUGUUCUACGUUGGUUAUUAAGUUGAAUAAUUCUAUUAUAUGUUCAAGUCAUAUGGUUAAUAGUCUUUAUGUCUUAAGUCCUUUGAUUGACUCUAUACAUAACACUACUAUUGCUAAGAAAAGAAAGAGGUCCUCUAGUACUAAUGAAACUCUCUUAUGGCAUCUUAGAUUGGGUCAUAUCAAUCUAAAUAGGAUUCAAAGAUUGGUAAAGGAUGGUCCUUUAAAUGAGUUAAAGGUGGAAUCUAUACCAACUUGUGAAUCUUGUAUAGAAGGAAAGAUGACCAAGAGGCCCUUUAAGACUAAGGGACUAAGGGCUAAAGAGGUUUUGGAAUUAGUACAUUCCGAUGCUUGUGGACCUAUUAGUACUCGGGUUAGAGGAGGAUACGAGUACUUCAUCACCUUUACAGAUGAUUACUCUAGAUUUGGAUACAUAUACCUUAUGUCUCACAAAUCCGAAGCUUUGAAGAAAUUCAAGGAGUUUCGGACAGAAGUUGAGAAAUAAUUAGGUAAGAGUAUCAAGGCCCUUCGAUCUGAUCGAGGUGGCGAGUAUCUAUCCCCAAGAGUUUAAGGUCUAUUUAUCAAAUAAUGGUAUAUUAUCCCAAUUGAGUGCACCAAGAACUCCCCGAAAGAAUGGUGUCUUGGAAAAAAGAAAUCGAACUCUUUUAGAUAUGGUAAGAUAAAUGAUGAGUUAUUCCUCAUUGUCUAUAUCCUUUUGGGAAUAUGCACUACAAACAGCCAUUUAUAUCUUGAAUUUGGUACCAUCUAAGUCAGUUCCCAAGACACCUCUUGAAUUGUGGAAUGGGCGCAAGCCCAAUUUACACCACAUUUGGAUAUGGGGAUGUCCAGCACAUGUGCUAAAGGGAAAGACGGAUAAGAUGGAAUCAAAAUCAGAUGUUUGUUCUUUGUAGGAUAUCCAAAGGGAACGAGAGGUUACUACUUCUAUAAUCCUCUUGAUAAAAAUGUAUUUGUUAGCACAAAUGCAACCUUCUUAGAGGAUAAGUAUAUAGAAGAACACAAGUCUACUACUAAGAUUCUAUUGGAAGAGAUGUUAGAACAUGGUUCAAACAAUUCUGUUCUAGAUUUCCGCAUAGAAUCUAAUAGUGAUGACUUGGAACCUCCUACUGAACCAAUGGUUGCUGAUGAAGCAAGUGAGCAAGUGAUGCCCACAGGGCAUCAUAGGCAAAUAGAACCAGAGGUAGUAGAAAAUGAGGCACCCAUUAUUGUAUCUCCACAUGUCCAUACAAAUGGGGAUAAUGAGAAUAUUGUUCCUAACCAGGACAGGAUCAAAUAGUGGGAAGAGAGGAAGGACCUUUGGUCAGACUAGACAAUCAGGCACCUUCAACUAUUACUCGUAGUGAUAGGGUUGUGAGACCACCUUCUAGGUACUUGCUCUAUGGAGAAUCCUAUCAAGCGAUCUCUACUGAGCAAAAAGAAGAUCCCACUUCGUUUAAGGAAGCAAUGGAGGAUGUAGACUUUGAAUCAAGGAAAUUAGCCAUGAACUCAGAAAUGGAAUCUAUGUAUUCUAACAAGGUUUGGGAUCUUGUAAAUGCACCUAAUGGGGUAAAGUCUAUAGGAUGCAAGUGCGUCUAUAAAAGGAAAAGAGGUAUAGAUGGGAAGGUUGAAACCUUCAAAGUAAGGCUAGUGGCCAAGGAUUUUACCCAAAGAGAAGGCAUCGACUAUGAAGAAACCUUCUCACCAAUUGCCAUACUUAAAUCUAUUCGAGUCCUUUUAUCCAUUGCCGCUCAUUAUGAUUAUGAGGUUUGACAAAUGGAUGUCAAGAUAACAUUUUUAAAUGGACGUCUUGAGGAGACCAUAUAUAUGAUACAACCUGAAGGGUUUGUGAAAGAAGGUCAUGAAAGGAAAGUUUGCAAGUUGCAGAGGUCCAUUUAUGGACUCAAGCAAGCAUCCAGAUCUUGGAAUGUAAGAUUUGAUCAAACCAUCAAGAUCUAUGGUUUUGAGCAAAAUUUGGAUGAACCUUGUGUGUACAAAUGAAUACAAGGGAAGAAAUUAGUUUUUCUGAUUCUUUAUGUAGAUGACAUUCUACUCAUUGAAAAUGAUGUAGAGACAUUGUCAUCUGUAAAGAAAUGGUUGACACAACAGUUUGAUAUGAAGGACUUGGGAGAAGCAAGUUAUGUUUUGGGAAUCCGUAUCUUCCGAGAUAGGAAAAACAUAAGGAUUGCAUUAUCCCAAGCUUCAUAUAUUGACAAAAUAUUGUCCAGAUUUGCAAUGUAGAAUUCCAAAAAUGGACAACUUCCUUUUAGACAUGAAAUUCAUCUAUCUAAAAAGCACUGUCCCAAGAAUGCAAUGAAGAUAGAUUACAUGAGAAAGGUUCCUUAUGCUUCGGCUGUGGAAAGUUUCAUGUAUGCUAUGCUUUGCACUAGACCGGAUAUUUGUUAUGAUGUGGGUAUUGUUAGUCGUUAUCAAUCUAAUCCAGGACCAGAACAUUGGAUAGCGGUAAAGCAUAUACUCAAGUAUCUUCGGAGAACGAGAGAUUAUAUGCUCGUCUACUCAAGACAUGAUCUAAAUCCUAUUGGAUAUAUUGAUUCCAAUUUUCAAUCCAAUCGUGACUCUAGAAAGUCUACAUCGGGAUCAGUAUUUACACUGGGAGAUGGAGCUGUGGUAUGAAGGAGUAUCAAGCAAUCUUGUAUUGCUGAUUCCACCACGAGGCAGAAUAUGUAGCAGCUUGUGAAGCUACUAAAGAAACUGUAUGGUUCAAGAAGUUUCUUUUGAAUCUUGACGUGAUACCUUUGGCAAUGGGGCCCAUAACGCUUUAUUACGAUAAUAGUGGGGCGGUUGCCAAUGCUAAAGAAUCGAGGAGUCAUCAGCAUGGCAAGCACAUCGAGAGAAAAUAUCACCUUGUUAGAGAAAUUUUUCAUCGAGGAGAUGUGACGGUUAGUAAGAUUGCAUCAGUAGAUAAUCUUGCGGAUCCAUUCACUAAGGCCUUACCAGCUAAAGCUUUUGAUGGACAUCUUAAGGGGAUGAAUAUUCUUGAUAUUUUACACACACUCUAAGAAGGGCAAUUGGGAGAUUGUUAGUUUGAUGUCCAUUCUUCAAGUAAUGUUCUGUAAAAUCACAUUAUGAAUUUACAUUCGUUUAUUUGCGUGUUAUAAUUUAAAGUGAUUGUCUAAGGUUCCAUGAUCAUAUAAAAUGUCACAAAUUGUAUACUCGAUGGAUCGGGUAUAGUAAGACAAAAUUUGUGAUGUGAUCAAAAUUAUGUCGUUCACAAUUGGUUCAUAUUUUUAAAAUUGGCCUACUACAAUAAAGUCUAAAGAAAUUUGCGCAAUUUUCAAACCCUAAUAGGUCAUUAUAAAUAUGCACUUUAUUGGCAUAUUUUGGUGUGAUUUUAGGGUUAGCCACUUUUCACAUUCUCUAAAGAGGAAUAACACCUAGUGGAGAACAAGAGAAGAAGCAAUUGGCUAGGCAAUUAAUAUCUCCUUCGAAAAGGUUAUCCUCUCCCAUUUCUAUAUAUGUGAGGAUUUUAUAAUCCAAUGAUCUCAAGAUCAAUUAAAUCCUUAUUUACAUGAUUUUAAUCUUCAAAGGGAAAUUAAUUUCCCAUUGUGAUGAUUAAAAUUCAUUAACCAACAGAUACUACCAACUCAGGAUCAACCUUUAUUUCCCAAAUGUCCUAACAAUGCCAAAACGGCAAACAUGGGUCGCGCUUCAUAUUGCGUGCUGAAUUUGAUUGGACCUUUAGAAAUUUACGAUCAAGGCAAAAUGUCCCAUGAUACUAAUAGCAUUCCUCAUGCCCAAACAUUUGGAAUUGCUUAGAAAGCUAGGGGAAACUUUAAAACAACUUUCUAUAUCAAGUCAAUUUGAUUUGUGAAUAUAUCUUAUACUCUAGAAAUGAUUUGUAUUAUCACAUUCAAAAUAAUUAUCAAAAUUGAAAUAUAUAUGAUUAUCGUCAGGGUUGGAACCAGGAGUAUAGUUCAGUGCCGACACAAUUUAAUUAUCGUCAAACUUUGAGUUUUGAUAGUGGAUUUAAUCAACACCGAACUUUUCUUUGCUUUCUUCUUCAUAAACCAGGCACAAGUCACACAACAGUAGAUUUUGCGAUGUAAACUUCAGCCAUGACAAAAAAAGAUAAAGAAAAAGACUCAAGAUGUAGUUGCACGGGAUCUUAUCACGGAGCUACCUUGUGUAUAGUCAAUAACACUGGUGAGGGAUUCGUUUUGUGUGAUUCAGAUGGACACGGAAGACAUGGUGGUAUCAAAACCUUCCUCAAUAAAAGUUUUAUGUAAUUCACAUGGAAUAAUAAAAUAAAGAUCUUUUCUUUUGAAUAGACAACAAAAUUGAAGCGAAACUAAUAAUAAAACGAAGACAAAAAAGUAUAUUACUUAUCCUAUUGAUGUGGUGGUGGCGGAGAGACGCCGAAGUAAAGGAAGUAAAUGAAAUUGAACAGGAUGAUGGUCAGCGUAAAUUGGACAAUUCUAAUCAUUCAUCAAAUGAGCAUCAUACAAUUCUCUAAAUCAAUUCCAUACAUAUCACGGGAAACAUUAAAUUACCCAUGUCAAUUUUCAAGCAGGCUCUACGUCAGAUGAAUGAUUCAUAUAAUUUUUUCAAUGCAUACGUUUUGCCAAAUUAGCAUUAGCUAAAUUUUAGGAAUUUCACCAAUUGUUACAACUCGUGACUCAUGGGUAACUAUUUAUCAUAGUUGGUUAUAUUAAAUAUAGGAAAUUUCGUAUGUAAGUUGUAACGUCAAGUUCGUAGAGUUUAGAUUUGUAAAGCAAUUCAAAUUACCUAAAUUUUUGGGAUUUCACGAUUAAUCCCAUGUGCAUUAUGAUUUACCACCUAUCAUAGUAAGUUACCUUAAGUAUAGGAAUAUUGUUAUGGUAGCAUAUCUGAUAUAAUUUACAGUGAUUUUGAUAUUUAAUAAAUAUCAUAGUAUUCGUGGAAAUAUUAUUCAAAAUGGGUCUAAUUGUUAAAAAUCCCAGAAAAGUAAAAAAGAAAAAGAAAUGAAUUGGGUUGUGCUCGAAGUUCACUACAAGCUGGUACCUGCACUGGUCUCUUUAAUCUUUACAUUAUAUUUACUUGUUUUAUGAGGCUAUAUAUUUUGCUAUAUAUUUCACAAUUCCAUGAGAUCUCAAUGCAUAUGUAACAGAAAACAAGAAAAUUAAUUAAUAUUUCGAAACUAACUUACCUUACUUGGAAUACUCCGGCCAUGGAAUACUGAAUCUUCAGGUAUUGUUCCAUUGAAGGAAGGCAAAAAAUGCACAUAAAUGGAAUAAAAUCCUUUAUUUCCUCUGAAAAAUUUCUCCCACAAAGGCGCCAAUGGCAGAAUCCCUUUGGCUAAGAACAUGAAUGCAACUUUUGGGGUACGAUUGAAAGGAAAACUGUGUAGCCGUGGCACCAUGGAAGCUCGCCACAGGAGCUCUUCCUCCGUCAUAUCGUGCAUAGGUGGUGGUGGUUUGAAAAAUUCUUCCAAUCCGACUCUAUCUAAAAUUGGUUGUGUAGGCGGCAGAUAUUGUUGGAAAUAUUUCCAUCACCGAGGAAAAUGGAGAAAGACAAUGCAGAAAAUAAUAAUCAAGAAGAUGAAGAACACAUUGAACAUGAAGGCUCGAACGCGUAAUUGCUGUCCUCAAACUAUAUUUGCCUCCUCUCGGGAUUGAAUGAGAUACUUAAGGAUCUUGGCAAACAAUUUGUAGGAUUAUAACAAGCCUUGUAAAGGAUCUAGCUCCAAAGCAUAAGUGUGAUCCUCCAAAACUUUAAGAACACAAGGAAGAUUUGAAUAUGAAUAAAAAUCAAGAGUUUGAUUUUAAUGUGGAAUAAAAUUUGGAUCACAAGGUGUUUAUCUCAUGUUUUUAAUGGUUUUUCACACAUUUGAAAUGAUCAUAAAUCACCUAUAUAUAUAGCCAUAAAACAAGGCUAUGCGAAGUGGUGCCAAAACAUAUUUGAAAGGGUGCCAAUUUCAAUUUACAACCGCCUCCAACGGUUGGAAUUUCUCAACCAUGUGACCACAUGGCAUUAAUCCAUGCGCUCGCAUGGAACAUUCCAUGCAGGCCCUUAAAUUCUCGGGUAUUGGCCAUGCAACCGCAUGGCCAAAGUGCCCACGCGGUCGCAUGGCACAUUUAAUGGCCUCCGGUUUGUUCCACUUCGUUUUUUUAUUGAAUUUUCGAACAACAAUUUCAACAAUCUCCCACUUAUUCAAAAUUCAAUUUAAAAACCUCAUAUUCAAUUCAUACAAUACUCAUGCAUAAGGACUACAUAUCUUUUGAUUUGAAUCUAGCCAUAAUGUAAUCCAAACAAAAUAUAGUCGGAAUCAAAGAUAGCCGUAGCUUUGAACCAGUUAUUUCUUAUGACAAUACCGAUUCGAACACACACACACACGAGUACCACGUAUUCUCAAGUUUCUCAUAACUCACUUAGCACUGUUAUGACCUUGCGCUCAUCCUAUUCAACAAACUUUUAAGAGAGAAACCCCAACUCUCACUUGAGGUGGCACCAUCUCAAAGUUUGUUUAGGUGAAGUUCUUCCAGUACCUUUGUUACUUUUAGAAGUACUUGUGAUUUUAGCACUGAAUUUCAUUAAGAGCUAUAAUUGCUCAAUCCUCACUUCAGUAACAACCAGCAUUAUUUCAAUUAAGAUAGGAUUAUCGCGGAUUUUAAUAAUGCUGAAAUCAUCCCACAUAUCGAAUGGCUUGUUUUUAUCCUUUGAACCCGUGGAUUACCUUUUGAGCAAUGACAGGUAGGGUUGCCAUCAUUGGUGGACCUUUAUAGAUUAGGAGUUUCAACCUCAUCCUACUCGAAGUAGAUGCUACUAAAGUUUUAUUUAGUGGUCUAGUUGAAGGAUCUGCUAAAUUCUCUUCGAAAAUUAUUUCACCUUUGAUAAUUUCCUUGUGACGUCACCUCUAAGACUUAUAUGUCUUUACUUCUCAUUUUAUGUGAUUUAGUGUCUUAUCAAAAUAUAGCUAGCCAACAAUCGAUUCAUUUGAUAGAUACAACUUGUCACUACCAAGAAGCCACAUGCUUCUCACUCGCUUUAUUUAAAGCCUUAUUGAUUUUUAAAACACUGUUUGAUGAUUUCCAUUAAUUCAUUACACUAGUCAAUCACUUCUAUUUGUGGAUUUUCAUACUUGGGUAUUUCACUUAUCAUCAUUGUAAUUGAAUCAUUACAAUGAUUUUCAAUGAAUAUUCUUUAAAUACUCCAAUGGUUUUGCAAGCGGCACAAUCGGCCUUUAACCAUUUAAUCCACUUUAGACUUAGUGUGUUUCAUCCUUACAAGGUCUUCUCUACCUUUAUCCAUCAUAGAUGUAUUUCUAUGAUUAAAAGGUAAAGGAUAUGGUAGCUUUUUAAAUUAAAUUACCCCCACAAUUCCUUAAUUAGGAAUUCUUAUGCAAUCUCGUAAUGUUGCAUCCAUUUAUCUUUGAACUUCUCAUAUAAGUUCAUAAGAUUAAUGUUAACCCCCACAUUUCGGGUUAUACUUGAACUUAGAGUUCCUCAAUAUGUCAACCCCCAGAUUUGGGAUUGUAAUUGAACUUAGAAUUCAUCAACUCUUUCAUUGUUCAAUUCUCUUGUCAUUUUAAUAAUACUCGUGAAAUACUUUCAGAUAGUGCUUGUUAAGCCACAAUGUACUUCAAUCCACUAUCUUUAAUUUUGAUCACACAAUUUGAUCAAGGCCAUCUCAUAGACCAUUAAUUCUUUUCCAAGCAUAAACCAACUUAAUUGGUUCCACAUUUGAAGUCAAAUUCAAUUAAUGAAUAAGGGUGUGCUUCUUGUUUCACAAGAAUUGCGCUUUGCCACUUUCACAAGACAAAAUUAUACCAUUUCGAAUAAUAAGACAUAUAUUUGCCUUAUUUACAUUGGGACAAAAUCACAUUUUGUCUUUUUUAUAUGCAAACACGAUUUUGCAUAAGAUUAUCUCACUUAAUUUUGGCUAUCAAUAUUUCAAUAUAACAUGAAAUCAAUCAUCAAGUUUAUCAAGUUAUUCUCAUAUUCCAAUAGAACAAGUAGGUCAUGAAAUUUCAUGCACUUCCAAAAAAUAGUAGGCAUCCUUACACAUCCUUUAAACCCAUUAAAGAUUAAUAGGCUGGUCUAAAAACACAAGUAUGGAUGUACUUUACUUGCACUUCGAUGUCCAUGAACCAACAUAAUGGCAAAUGCACCGUUCAACAAAUGAUGCGCUACAGAAACAUGUGGGCUACCCAGUAGGUUCGUAUAUUAUCCAAGCAAAUGUGACAACCCAUAUAUUGGAAUUAAUCACCGAAAUAACAACCAUGAUCAAAUAGAUCUUUAGCAACCACAAUUGCAUUCUUUAUAAUUCAUGCAUAUGAACCAUUCCAAUUGUCACAACAAAGUGAGAAUAACCAAUUUGUUUUAAUUUUACAUGUAAUAACAUUUACCAAGAUGAAGUAAUCCAUAUGUAAAUUUCCAUUCUCUAGUAGAAGAAAUGGUCAUGAAAGUUCACAUAAUUUCUUUCAUAAACUUCUAACACUUUAGAAUUUUUCCGUAUGCAAUGUAAUGAAUUUCAUGGCAAGAAUAUAUUAUGCACAUCAGAGCUUUAACCAAAUUGGUGAAUUCCAAAACAUGCAUCAUUAAGUAAGCAAGUGCGAGUAAUAUGCUCAAAUAUUCUCCAAAGGAAAGAGUACACAUUUUCCUUUAUGCACAUAUAUAAACACUUGCACACAUUAACUAGUGAGAUCAAAAGCUGCUCGUAGUCAUCAUACUAUAAGAAUUUUGUCACAAUCUUAUGCGCAUAUAAUUUUGCACAAGUCAUCUCAUUAAUUUCAUCAAAUUAAUUGAGGCUCAAAAAAAUAUGGAAUUUUAAUCAAUAGUUUACCAUAUCAUUUUUUUCAUAUUCCAAUAAAAGGAAUAGUCAUGAAAGUUCAUAUUCUUUCAUCAAAUAGUUGGCAUUCUUCCAUGUCCAACAGUUAGAGCAUUUAUCUCCUUCUAUCCAUUUGUUGUUUGGCUUGACUUAGCCUCAACAUCCAGAAAUUUAUCACAUUCAAAGUAAAGACGGAAUAACAACGAAUAUGUUUAUUGUAUAAAUUUAUCGAUGUUCCAUUGAAGUCAGUGCACUUCCAUCAUAUAAAUUUUCAAACAUAUAAUUAUGGUGCACAUGUGGCAUUAAACAUUACUAUCUAUGCCUCCGCUGAAGAAUUAUCACUACGAACCAACUUCCAUUUUUCUUAUAAAAAGUGGCCUAGUGAUGCAUAAACCGAGACCCACGUGUUAGAAUAGAAGGAAUUCAAUUUCUCAUCAGUGAACUUCCUUUGUAGAUUAUAUAUAUAUCAAUCACAUGCAUAAUGACAAACUGCAUAUGCAACCAUGAGGAAUUAAACUGCAUGAGAAUAAUCAUUUCAAGUGUCGCAUUCUACUUUGUUGGAUUAUUUUAAUUAAUCACAUAAUUUCAUUUAAAAUGAAGAGUCGCCAUUUAACUGCUUAAACCAGAUGCCCUAAUUUGCAGUUUCGGCCGACCAAACAAGAUUGGAAAGACGCAUCUUUCUGGAUUAAAAGGUGCCAGCACAUGAACCGGUAAAUGGAAGCGUCAAUGUUUAUAAUUGUUAUACUGUAAUUGUGCAAUAAUUCCGGCAAAUAUAUAUUACAUGCAUGCAGCAUAAUAAUUAAUAAGCAGAAGAAAUUUCGCCGGACUCUAGUCCGCAUUCUGCCAAAUUUAAUGCAAAUGUUUCCAUUGCCAAACCAUGCAUGUAAUGACUUUCCCAGAAUUCAAAAAGGCGUUGGUUCAUGUAGUAACGUCCCCAAAUCAAAUGGAUCUGUCACCGGCCAUUCAAAUUCAAAGGCAUAAAUGAAUUCCAUAAAGAAUCUAGUCGGCAGGUUCACAUAGUCAAAAUAUUUUCAGAGACACCAUUAUGCAAUAACAGCACUACCAGGUCCAAUUUCAUACACAUAACAAUUAAUAUAGUAUGCAUGCAUAUGAGUCCCAAAAUUUAGAACACAAAUUCCGCCAAAAGGGCCGACAAUUAGUUCUUCACAAAUGGCCGAUAAUGAAGGCUAUCAUAAAUCAAAACCGGAUAUGGAAUACCAGAAAAUAUUCACGUAGAAUUCUAGUUUCUAAAGAAUAUGACAUGCACAACAAGCACCAAAAUUCAUCUUAUCAUGCAUAAUGUAUACACAAAAUGUACCUUUUGUAUUGUGGAAAUAGAACAUAAUUUCGACUUACCGAAUUUGGAGGGCAAUUUCGACUUACACAAAUCUGGAUUCAAGUUCUUCUACAAGUCGAGCCAUUCCAUGAAAUUAGUGCCAUCAAACAGUCCGUACGAACAAGAUCUCAAUCCAUCAACUUGAUCGUCGCCAAAGUAAUUUUUUUCUCCAUCGCCAAAAUAUAGUUUGAGAUUGUUGGAAAUAUUUGCAUCACUGAGGAAAAUGGAGAAGGAACAAUACAGAAAAUAAUAAUCAAGAAGAUGAAGAACACAACGAACAUGAAGGCUCGAACGCGUAAUUGCUGUCCUCAAACUAUAUUUGCCUCCUCUCGGAAUUGAAUGAGAUGCUUAAGGAUCUUGGCAAACGGUUUGUAGGAUUAUAACAAGCCUUGUAAAGGAUCUAACACCAAAGCAUAAGUGUGAUCUUUCAAAACUUUAAGAACAAAAGGAAUAUUUGAAUAUGAAUAAAAAUCAAGAGUUUGAUUUUAAUGUGGAAUAAUAUUUGAAUCACAAGGUGUUUAAUGAUUUUUCACACAUUUGAAAUGAUCACAAAUCACCUAAAUAUAGCCAUAAAACAAGGCUAUGCGAAGUGGUGCCAAAACAUAUUUGAAAGGGCGCCAAUUUCAAUUUACAACCGCCUCCAACGGUUGGAAUUUCUCAACCAUGUGACCACAUGGCAUUAAUCCAUGCGCUCGCAUGGAACAUUCCAUGCAGGCCCUUAAAUUCUCGGGUAUUGGCCAUGCGACCGCAUGGCCAAAGUGCCCAUGCGGUCGCGUGACACAUUUAAUGGCCUCCGGUUUGUUCCACUUCCAUUCCACUUCGUUUUUCCAUUGAAUUUUCGAACAACAAUUUCAACAAUGGUGGUGGCGGCGAUGGAGAAGGUGGUGGCAAUUCGAUGUUGGAGAAUUGCUUAAGUGGAAAGUUUAAGGGCAAGUCGUUGAGAUAAAAACUUAACGUAAUUCCAAUGACUAAACCAGAACCAAAGAUAAGAAAGUAUAUAAUGAGACUAUAAAGAUAUCCUUGGGAAUUUAUAAGCUUAACAGAUGAAAUUAGUUUCUAUUUUUCUUCAUCUUGUGCAUGAGAGAGAAUGCUUUAGAGAGAGAAAUUGGAGAAGAUGAUGAAAAAAGGAGUUAUAUGAUAUGGAGUGGUGUGGGGUGGGGUGGGGGUACUAGAGAAAGCAUAAACGAACCUAUAUCUAUAUCUCCAUCUACAUCUACAUCGAACCAAAACUAUAAUCUCUCAGCCCAUAACUCGUUUAAAAGGACCGUAUGUAAAAAAAAAAUCUAGUCUUCCCAUGGAAAUAUCAGCAAAAUCUUGUUCAAUAUGAAAUAGUGCAACAGUAUGCUAAUUCUCAGGAAUUAGCAGUUACAAACUUAAUCACAAGAAAUAUUGCAGUCGAGAAGUUGAGAUUUACCGUCCCCAUUUGGCUGCCACCAAACUAAAAUUUGAAACCUCAAUAUAUCGGCCCUUAUUAGCAAAUGGGGAAGAUGUUAUUACAAAUGUGAUCUCACUUGCACACUACCGUGUUAGCCUCUUCCCAUUUGCUAACAGAGCUGACAUACACAAGUGUCAAAUUUAAUGGGUGAACAACCAAUUUAAAGAGACCAAUUUACUCUAUUUCUACUCUUCCUUUGUGGGUGCAAACCAAUCACCACCGUUCUCCAUUGUAGGGUAAAACUAGUGGGAGCCAAGUGGUAUAAGUUGUGGGUUGAGCCCUCUCAGUUGGUGUUUAUUUAGUGAGUAAUUUGAGCCCAAUCUCAAGAUUUCUCAUAGAUUCCGCCAACAAAUUUUUUGAGUGUAAUUUGCAAAUUACCUUUAGAAGUUAAUAUAUUUGAGUAUUCAUACCGGACAAGAGAACUAAGAUCUAUCAGAUGCUAGAUCCAUGACUUCAUCCUAAUGUCUCAACACCUGUUUAGGUUGAAAAGUUAAUUGAAAAGAUUUGACAAGCGAUAAAGCUAUAAAACUAUCACACCAAUUAGUAAAUCAAGUGUACUUUGACUUGACCAAGGUGAGGUCAUCAGAAGAUGCCCGUUGUGAAAGAUGUUGAUCGUCUCGUAAAUUUUCUAAAGCAUAACGUUACACCUCAUCUCAAAAAAACACUUCCAAGUGUGGCGCCAAUAUAGCUUUGGCCAAUCGUCUCUAAAGGCACGUGUAAAGUGUACGCAAAGCGGGAUGCGGUCCUUGCAUGACAUGUUGCUUUAUCUUUGCUUAACUAACUAUUACGUGGCAUGUCUCAUAAAACAAGGUGUAAGUAUAGUUAUGGGGUUCACUUUUUUAUUUUGCAUUCUUCUAAGUUAUGGUGUUAAGAGAAAAUUGUAAUGUUAUUGGCUUAGUACCAAACUUGUCCACAACAUAUAAAAAGAAACAAGUUAGUCUCCAAUUUUUCAUUAAAUAUUCAAGUGAUCUUUACAUUUUCAACUUCAUAAAAUUAGGAUUUUAUUUCUUUAUUUCAAUGAAUCCGGAGAAAUAGAGUGAUAAAUUAAUUGUAUGCGUUUUACACUAACGACUCAUCAUGCAAAUAUAAUGAACUUUAGAGACCAAUUUACUUGUUAUCUUUCACAAUUUUCAGCGAAGCGUGAGAUAACCUCACUCCUAUCCUUUGCACCACUGGGCUAUGCUCCUGGGGCAGAUCUUUAACUAAAAUAUACUAGUGCUAGCUCAUUACAAAGACCAGCGGUUUAUCAAUUAAACCACUUCAAUGAACUCCUAAAGAUUAAACUGAUGCAGACCACAAAAAUUCCUACAGAAUAUCCCAAACCAAAGGGAAUAGUGUACAAUGAAGUUGCUGACUCUUCCUCCUCCGGUUCAUCUUGACCUCCGGAGCUUGCUGGAGGGCAAAUUUUUUGCUGUACAAAACCAUAAAGUUUAGGAUUCCCCUCAAAUGAAGUGUUGGUGAAUGUAUCAAAUUGACCACCCUGUGGAAUCUCUCCUUCUAAAUCAUUGUUUGCCACAGUGAAAGAAGAUAAGAAAUGGAGUUUUUUCAGAGAUUCGGGGAUCUCGCCGGUGAGAUGGUUCCCCGACAUGUCCAAUUUCUCUAAAUUGACAAGAUGGGAUAAUUCACUUGGAAUGCUUCCAACGAAGUCGUUAUCGUUGAGAUCCAGUUCUCCAAGAAGUCUCAAGUUUCCUAAUUCUGCCGGAAUAUUCCCACUCAGACUGUUAUUCCCAACUUUGAUUCCCCUUCGCACGUUGAAUAGUCGAUUAUACUGGAGACUGUCGAAUAAGAAAGGCAAUGCUAAAUUACUCAAGUUUGAGUCCGUAUCGUCUGAAACUAAAGCUUUUAGGUUGCCAAUUUCAUGAGGAAGUUCUCCGGUGAGGUGAUUUCCAGUGAUGUUUAGUACAAAAAAGGCUAGGCAUACUCCCCAGCCAUUUUGGAAUGGUGCCUGUAAUUUGAUUGUACGACAGAUUCAGCACUUUGAGUUUCUUUAAUUUUCCAAUCCAAGAAGGCACUUCACCUUUGAGUUUGCAUCCUCCCAGACCGAGAAUUUGUAGAUUUUGGAACCCAUUUAGAUUUAAUAAAUGUUCAUCGUUUGGCACCGGUUCAUCAUUGAAGCACCUUGACAGGAAGAGAACUGAAAGAUUAUCGCAGCGUAUAAGAAUCUGUAGAGCUCCAACAACGUUAGAUAGGAAACUGUCGGAAAGUGAGAGAUGGGAUAAAGAUUUUAGGCCAGCCAUGCAAGCUGGGAUUUCGCCCGUCAACUGGUUAUAUGCGAAUCGAACUGCAGUCAGGGAUCUACACGAGCACAGGCUAACUGGAAUGUUUCCCACAAAGGUAUUGUUCCCAAAAUCAAUUGCUUCCAGUUUCCGAAGUGGGGAAAAAUCAAGACUCGUAAUUUCUCCUCCUAAAUGAUUAUUUCGCAAAAGCAAAGUUUUCAGGCUGGUGCAAUUCAUCAAUGAUGGAGGCACAGAACCAUUUAGGCUGUUGGUGUGAAGAAUCAGUUGGUUCAAAUUUGACAGCAACCCAAUAUCUUUAGGAACCUCCCCAGUGAAUCCAUUCUCAUGGAGAUCUAUAAUGCUAAGAUUUGAGAGAAGAGCUAUGCUAUUGUUGAUAGGUCCUGUAAACUGGUUGUUACCUAAAAAGAUUUCUACGAGUGUUUUCACGCUGUAAAGAUCAUAUGGAAGCCAUCCUGAGAGAGAAUUAAGACCAGCCCUAAAAACUUCCAGCUUAGAACAUCUUCCAAUUCCUUGUGAUAUACUGCCACCGAAUUUGUUCAUGGAGAAAUCCAAUAUCUUCACAAAACUGGAGAUGAUGCAAAUAGAGGAAGGAAGUGGACCGGUAAAACUGUUGUUACUAACAUUGAAACUAAUCAAACGCGGCGCGCCGCGGAAAAAAGGAGACUCGACCGACCCAUUAAACUGAUUACUCGAUAGAUCUAUGGUUCGAAUUGAAACAGGUAAGCUGUAAUUCGGUGACCCAGACAGAAGAUUAUAACUCAAAUCAAUCGAUUCCAAAUGAUUCAAAGUUUGAAAAAGUGUGAAAGGAAAAGAGCCAGAUAACCGAUUUUGGGACAAAUUAAGGUGAGAUAGAAACGUGAGAUUCUCAAGAAAGGGAGUGACGGUUCCAGAAAGACGCUUACCCGGUAUCGAUAAAUGGAUGACCCGACACUCGCGAUUGCAAGUAACACCUUCCCAUUUACAGCAGUCGAUGGAUGACCAGUUG